rnacentral:rRNA from 1 species
UGGGGAAUAUUGCACAAUGGGCGCAAGCCUGAUGCAGCCAUGCCGCGUGUGUGAAGAAGGCCUUCGGGUUGUAAAGCACUUUCAGCGAGGAGGAAGGUGGUGAACUUAAUACGUUCAUCAAUUGACGUUACUCGCAGAAGAAGCACCGGCUAACUCCGUGCCAGCAGCCGCGGUAAUACGGAGGGUGCAAGCGUUAAUCGGAAUUACUGGGCGUAAAGCGCACGCAGGCGGUUUGUUAAGUCAGACGUGAAAUCCCCGGGCUCAACCUGGGAACUGCAUUUGAAACUGGCAAGCUAGAGUCUCGUAGAGGGGGGUAGAAUUCCAGGUGUAGCGGUGAAAUGCGUAGAGAUCUGGAGGAAUACCGGUGGCGAAGGCGGCCCCCUGGACGAAGACUGACGCUCAGGUGCGAAAGCGUGGGGAGCAAAACA